UAAGGAACAUUGGUCAAUGGACGCAAGUCUGAACCAGCCAUGCCGCGUGAAGGAUGAAGGUCCUCUGGAUUGUAAACUUCUUUUAUCUGGGACGAAAACGGGAUUUUUAUCUCAAUUGACGGUACCAGAGGAAUAAGCACCGGCUAACUCCGUGCCAGCAGCCGCGGUAAUACGGAGGGUGCGAGCGUUAUCCGGAUUUACUGGGUUUAAAGGGUGCGUAGGUGGGCUUAUAAGUCAGUGGUGAAAUCUCCGAGCUUAACUUGGAAACUGCCGUUGAUACUAUAGGUCUUGAAUUAUCUGGAGGUAAGCGGAAUAUGUCAUGUAGCGGUGAAAUGCUUAGAUAUGACAUAGAACACCAAUUGCGAAGGCAGCUUACUACAUAUAAAUUGACGCUGAGGCACGAAAGCGUGGGGAUCAAACA
rnacentral:rRNA from 1 species